UUUCAGCCUAAAAAAAGUUGAAAUAGCAUCACUGGAUGCUCCUAAAAAAAUUAUGCCCAAAGACAGUUUGGGGGAUGGCCAAACUUACUUCUUUCAGCUUGUCAGAGAGAAUCUUGAUUUCUUCUUCAUAUUUAUCUUCUUUUUCCGAGUACUGUGAAAACAAUGAACACUCUCCAAGGGAAGUUGUAGCAACAAUAAUAAAAGUUUAUGAAACUGUGACCUAUUUAUAACCACUUUUCCUUUUACAACAGAUGUAAACACCAUUUCCGUGCUUUUCUCCUCUCCCCCAGACCUUCAGGCUUGUUUGGGCAGAACUGAUGGAGUGGUACCCCACAAGCAGGCAGAAAAUAAAAAAGGAACAUACCUCUCACUCUCAUCUGCUGCUUUCUCAGCCUCCUCCAGUUUCUGCAGGGCUGUGGCCAGUCGUUCCUGGGCACGAUCCAAUUCCUCUUCCACAAGCUGGAUGCGUCUGUUCAGAGCUGCCACCUCACCUUCAGCCUGUGUGAAACAACCGCCCAGAACCGGGGUUACACAGGCCACUUGCUGCUGGCAAAUGUUCCCAGCUAAUCAGUUUCCUUAAAACUGCAACAGCAUCUCCCUGGGACAUGCAGGGGAGCUCAGGGGCCCUUCUGCCUCUGAUUUUUUUGUUUGCUUAAACUGUGGCAUCUCAGGAAUGUCAAGGUAUGGAGUGUGUGCUUGUCCUUUCCUUUUUUAAUGGUACUUAUCAUUCCUGCCACACAAAAAAGGACUACAGGAUUGCGAAUGGAUCGGGGUAUUUUUGGAGCACUUCACAGGGCUGCAUCUAUCCAAAGUUAAAAAAUGAACUGUUUCCACGAUGGCUUAGUUCCAAAACCUUCACCAUUGAUUUCUCUGCCCUUGGUUUCAUCCAGUGACACCCUGUCACAGCUCACUGUGAAGUCUGAGCCAGUUCCUGAUCCAUCCUGGCUCCCGAGCCUGCAAACACUGUAGAAUCUACGUGGUCAGCUGGGCACAGACAGUGGCCUUGGCAUGGCAGAGUCAGGCCUUUUUUGGGACAAAAUUAGGUAUGUUCUUAAAAUAAGUUCACUUUGCUUCCUGCGGUACUUAAGGAAUUAGGCAGGAUGCAUUUAUUAAUAAUAAGAUCUGUGUGUGUAUUAUUGAAUAAACUGCACAGUAAUUGGAACACUAUUGACAUAUAAAAAACCAGACUAGCUAAUAAAUGGAAGAGACUGCUAGGAGAAAUGCUCCAUACAGACAACAUGGACAAAUUGGUGUCCAUAAAUAUGUGUUUAUUAUAUUUAUUAUAUUAUUUAAUUGCUUGUUUUUGAAGGAAAAUAAAGCCCCACUUAAUUAACUGCCA